GCCCCUGACACAGCCAGAUCCUCUGGAAAGGGCAGAAGCAGUGCAGGGAAUAUGGCAACUGCUCUGGACUGGAGCCGCAAGGCGGCGCACCCGGCUGCAAACAGCACUGCUAGUUGGGCAGUACUUUUCUGACUUGGCCGAGGCGGCUUCCUGGCUUCUCCAGCGGCAGAAACAAUUGGAAAGCGCGUCCUACGGGAAGGACCAGUCAGACUCCGAGGCCCUGCUGCAGCAACACCUGCGUCUGGAGCAAGGCUUGUGUGCCUUCGCGGUGGAUCUGCGCGAACUGGAGGAUCAGGCGCGGGCUGCUGCAGCCCUGGUGUCGCAAAUGGUGCACA
rnacentral:lncRNA from 1 species